rnacentral:rRNA from 1 species
ACUCCUACGGGAGGCAGCAGUGGGGAAUAUUGCACAAUGGGGGAAACCUUGAUGCAGCCAUGCCGCGUGUGUGAAGAAGGCCUUCGGGUUGUAAAGCACUUUCAGUAGGGAGGAAGGUAGUGUAGUUAACACCUGCACUAUUUGACGUUACCUACAGAAGAAGCACCGGCUAACUCCGUGCCAGCAGCCGCGGUAAUACGGAGGGUGCGAGCGUUAAUCGGAAUUACUGGGCGUAAAGCGCAUGCAGGCGGCCUGUUAAGUCAGAUGUGAAAGCCCGGGGCUUAACCUCGGAAUUGCAUUUGAAACUGGCAGGCUAGAGUCUUGUAGAGGGGGGUAGAAUUUCAGGUGUAGCGGUGAAAUGCGUAGAGAUCUGAAGGAAUACCAGUGGCGAAGGCGGCCCCCUGGACAAAGACUGACGCUCAGAUGCGAAAGCGUGGGGAGCAAACAGGAUUAGAUACCCUGGUAGCACAGAG